rnacentral:lncRNA from 12 species
AUCACUUUUCUGAAAAAAAAUAUUGUUUUAGGAGGCACUCAUUGAAGGGAAAUUACUGGCCCUGGAGGCAAAGAUGUGAUAAGAUAAUUAUUUCUAUUCUUUCAUUAUGGCCAAAUGGUAAAUAAGUCACAAAUGAAAUAACUUUGGCACUAUUAAUUCUCAAAAGCAGAUUUAGGCAGAAACUUCAAUAAAGCCUGAAAUCAGCACUUAAUUUUUCAUUUUCUCUUUUCUGGGAGCCUUCAAUGGAACAGUUUCAAUUCUCAAUUUAAGAUAGGUUGCCAAAAACUGAUUGAAAAAACAUGGUGCAUGAGAAGAUGUUUAGGUAAGUUAAAAAAAAAAAAAAAACCUGGAUACAACCAUUGCUUGAAAGUAAAAUGACUUUUGCACCAUACUUUAUCCUUUUAAUAGAAAAAGAUUUCUUUCUUUAGACUUUGGAACAAAUUGAUACCUAAAAAUAUAUAUAUUCUGCUGUUGAUUAGAUAUUUUGAGAAGUGUAGGUCAAAGCUUGGAAGUUUAAGAACUACAUUUCACAUGGAAAUAGUUUGCAUAGUUUCCACAUUCUCUUUUCUUUUCCCAUUUCCCUUAAUAAUAUUGGAUUUUAAAGUUAUGCUGCUUUUUGUCUUCAUAUUCUCAGACAUGGAUGAUUUUACCUUUAAAUUGAGAAAUCCAAAGAAAUAAGGUUGGAAGAGGUAUAUAUUUUCUAAUCUAUAUUUCUCUAAGAUUUCAGAUCACCUUUUCCUAAUUGAGUGAUCAAGCUAUUUCAUCUGGUGUUUCAUGAAAUGAAAUUACUAUCUUAGGCUCAAAAUUGAUUUUUUAACUAUGAUAAACUUUUGAGUAAAUAAUUUUCAUAACUACAAGGUCUUAAGGUGCCAAAAGAAGAAAACAUUCCUCUCUGAUUUAUUCCUAUUACAUAUUAAACAGGCUACUUGACCAGAACUGAAACCAGAUGAAGAGGAAAUGGAUCUCCAAUUUGAAGUGUGAUAGUUGCUUAAAAGGUAUUUCAGAUAAUAACAUAGAAUAUGUGGAAGAACUAGAAGUUUCCAGUAUGGAAAAGAGAGACAAUUCUCUACCCAGGAAAUCCAAGGUAAUCUAUUGAAAAGUUACUGGAUUUCAUAAGAAAGUUCAGUAACUCAGAUGGACACAAGAUAAAAUAUGAAAAGCAAUCACUCCUUGGCAAAUCAGCAGGAGAUCAUUAGAAAAUAAGAUGGAGAAACCACAAUAACAAAAGAACACAAAAUAUAUGAAAAUAGCCUUUAAAUACAUGUACAUCUCUUCUGGGUUAUUCAUAUAAACAGAUAGCUAGUGAAAUAUCCCAUGUUCAUAGAUGACAAAAUAAAUUAUUAAAAUGUUAGUUCUUUUAAAAUCA